UUUUCAGUGUCGCAGCGAAAGCGAUAAACACACCGCCUGGGGAGUACGACCGCAAGGUUAAAACUCAAAUGAAUUGACGGGGACCCGCACAAGUAGUGGAGCAUGUGGUUUAAUUCGAAGAUACGCGCAGAACCUUACCAACACUUGACAUGUUCGUCGCGACUCUAAGAGAUUAGAGUUUUCGGUUCGGCCGGACGAAACACAGGUGCUGCAUGGCUGUCGUCAGCUCGUGUCGUGAGAUGUUGGGUUAAGUCCCGCAACGAGCGCAACCCUUACUUUUAGUUGCCAUCAUUUAGUUGGGCACUCUGAAAGAACUGCCAGUGAUAAGCUGGAGGAAGGUGGGGAUGACGUCAAGUCCUCAUGGCCCUUACGUGUUGGGCUACACACGUGCUACAAUGGUAUCUACAACAGGAAGCAAGAUGGCAACGUUAAGCAAAUCCCAAAAAGAUACCUCAGUUCGGAUUGCACUCUGCAACUCGAGUGCAUGAAGCUGGAAUUACUAGUAAUCGUGGAUCAGCGUGCCACGGUGAAUACGUUCCCGGGUCUUGUACACACCGCCCGUCACACCAUGGGAGUUGGUUCUACCUUAAGGCAAAGUUUAAAACCUUUGACCACGGUAUAGUCAGCGACUGGGGUGAAGUCGUAACAAGGUAGCCGUAGGGGAACCUGCGGCUGGAUUACCUCCUU
rnacentral:rRNA from 1 species